UCCUCCGUGGCGCAAUUGGCUAGCGCGUCUGACUGUUAUUCAUAGGUUGAAAGUUCGAGCCUUUCCGGGGGAG